AACGUGGGUAACCUGCCCAUCAGAGGGGGAUAACAUUCGGAAACGGAUGCUAAAACCGCAUAGGUCUUCGAACCGCAUGGUUUGAAGAGAAAAGAGGCGCAAGCUUCUGCUGAUGGAUGGACCCGCGGUGCAUUAGCUAGUUGGUGAGGUAACGGCUCACCAAGGCCGUGAUGCAUAGCCGACCUGAGAGGGUGAUCGGCCACAUUGGGACUGAGACACGGCCCAA
rnacentral:rRNA from 1 species